GGUCGGAAGUUCAAGUCUUCCCAGGCCCACCACAUUCAUCGAGUGAGCAUUCGUCUUCUGGUUAUGGGGCCAUAGCUCAGCUGGGAGAGCGCGUGCUUUGCAAGCAUGAGGUCGUCGGUUCGAUCCCGUCUGGCUCCACCAGAUGGUUUGAUCACCGAGAUCGUGCAACCGUCGUCCGCGAAACAUCACUUCGCAUCCUGCUAGUCUGGAUAGACAGCAAGGUGCGUGUUUUCUGACAUCGUAAAGAGGAGAUCGAUCCGAGUUGGGUCGUGCAGCAGAUUGUUGCGCGAAUCCUCCAUUAUCUCCGGAUCAUUUUCGGCGCUCGACGCUGACCGCAAGGUUGGCUGAGAGUUGUAAAAUGAUCCUUUUAGCGAAGCUUGACCGCCUCGCUAUCGGAACGAUCUUACGAAGCAAGCUGGUCUUUCUAAUCAUUGUCCGGCUGCAGAUAGCGUUCAUCGAGGGCGCGUGCCGCAAGGUAAUUCUGCAGACAACAUUCUGCCGAGUGUGUGGACAUUGAUAAUGAGAGC
rnacentral:tRNA from 2 species